CGGAUAUCUCGGCUCUCGCA
rnacentral:siRNA from 1 species